GCAAACUUGGUCAUUUAGAGGAAGUAAAAGUCGUAACAAGGUUUCCGUAGGUGAACCUGCGGAAGGAUCAUUAUAGAGUGUAGGAGGAGUUGUUUAGAUUUCUAAAUGAUUCUCCUGUUUCUUUAUACCCAUCAUAUAUUUCUCUUUUAGUUGCUUUGGUGUCUGUAAAAGAAUGCCAAGGGAAGAUUUUCUUAACCCUUUUGAUGUCCAAUAACUGGUUACUGUUUGUCUGAUUUUUAAAUUUAUAAUAUUUUUAAAACUUUCAACAAUGGAUCUCUUGGUUCUGGCAUCGAUGAAGAACGCAGC
rnacentral:misc_RNA from 1 species